UACAGGGGGUGCAAACGUUGCUCGGAAUUAUUGGGCGUAAAGCGCGCGUAGGCGGCUACCUAAGUCGGAUGUGAAAGCCCCUGGCUUAACUGGGGAAGUGCACCCGAAACUGGGUAGCUAGAGUGCAAAAGAGGGUCGCGGAAUUCCCGGUGUAGAGGUGAAAUUCGUAGAUAUCGGGAGGAACACCGGUGGCGAAGGCGGUUCUCUGGGCCUUACCUGACGCUGAGGAGCGAAAGCGUGGGGAGCGAACAGG
rnacentral:rRNA from 1 species